rnacentral:rRNA from 1 species
GGGUUGUGAGGUUAAGCGACUAAGCGUACACGGUGGAUGCCCUGGCAGUCAGAGGCGAUGAAGGACGUGCUAAUCUGCGUAAAGCGUCGGUAAGGUGAUAUGAACCGCUACAGCCGACGAUGUCCGAAUGGGGAAACCCGGUGCACUCUGUGCAUCAUCGCAACAUGAAUACAUAGUGUUGCGAGGCGAACCUGGGGAACUGAAACAUCUAAGUACCCAGAGGAAAAGAAAUCAACCGAGAUUCCCCCAGUAGCGGCGAGCGAACGGGGAGCAGCCCAGAACCUGAAUCAGUUUGUGCAUUAGUGGAAGCGUCUGGAAAGUCGCAGGGUACAGGGUGAUACUCCCGUACACAAAAAUGCACUUACUGUGAGUUCGAAGAGUAGGGCGGGACACGUGGUAUCCUGUCUGAAUAUGGGGGGACCAUCCUCCAAGGCUAAAUACUCCUGACUGACCGAUAGUGAACCAGUACCGUGAGGGAAAGGCGAAAAGAACCCCGGCGAGGGGAGUGAAACAGAACCUGAAACCGUGUACGUACAAGCAGUGGGAGCCAACUUGUUUGGUGACUGCGUACCUUUUGUAUAAUGGGUCAGCGACUUAUAUUCUGUAGCAAGGUUAACCGUAUAGGGGAGCCGCAGGGAAACCGAGUCUUAACUGGGCGUUAAGUUGCAGGGUAUAGACCCGAAACCCGGUGAUCUAGCCAUGGGCAGGUUGAAGGUUGGGUAACACUAACUGGAGGACCGAACCGACUAAUGUUGAAAAAUUAGCGGAUGACUUGUGGCUGGGGGUGAAAGGCCAAUCAAACCGGGAGAUAGCUGGUUCUCCCCGAAAGCUAUUUAGGUAGCGCCUCGUGAACUCAUCUUCGGGGGUAGAGCACUGUUUCGGCUAGGGGGCCAUCCCGGCUUACCAACCCGAUGCAAACUGCGAAUACCGGAGAAUGUUAUCACGGGAGACACACGGCGGGUGCUAACGUCCGUCGUGAAGAGGGAAACAACCCAGACCGCCAGCUAAGGUCCCAAAGUCAUGGUUAAGUGGGAAACGAUGUGGGAAGGCACAGACAGCCAGGAUGUUGGCUUAGAAGCAGCCAUCAUUUAAAGAAAGCGUAAUAGCUCACUGGUCGAGUCGGCCUGCGCGGAAGAUGUAACGGGGCUAAACCAUGCACCGAAGCUGCGGCAGCGACACUAUGUGUUGUUGGGUAGGGGAGCGUUCUGUAAGCCGUUGAAGGUGAACUGUGAGGUUUGCUGGAGGUAUCAGAAGUGCGAAUGCUGACAUAAGUAACGAUAAAGCGGGUGAAAAGCCCGCUCGCCGGAAGACCAAGGGUUCCUGUUCAACGUUAAUCGGAGCAGGGUGAGUCGACCCCUAAGGCGAGGCUGAAAAGCGUAGUCGAUGGGAAGCAGGUUAAUAUUCCUGCACUUGGUGUUACUGCGAAGGGGGGACGGAGAAGGCUAGGUUAUCCGGGCGACGGUUGUCCCGGUUUAAGCAUGUAGGCGGAGAGUUUAGGUAAAUCCGGACUCUUUUUAACGCUGAGGUGUGAUGACGAGCCACUACGGUGGUGAAGUAACUGAUGCCCUGCUUCCAGGAAAAGCCUCUAAGCUCCAGGUAACACGAAAUCGUACCCCAAACCGACACAGGUGGUCAGGUAGAGAAUACCAAGGCGCUUGAGAGAACUCGGGUGAAGGAACUAGGCAAAAUGGUGCCGUAACUUCGGGAGAAGGCACGCUGGCAUGUAGGUGAAGGGACUUGCUCCCCGAGCUGAAGCCAGUCGAAGAUACCAGCUGGCUGCAACUGUUUAUUAAAAACACAGCACUGUGCAAACACGAAAGUGGACGUAUACGGUGUGACGCCUGCCCGGUGCCGGAAGGUUAAUUGAUGGGGUUAUCCGCAAGGAGAAGCUCUUGAUCGAAGCCCCGGUAAACGGCGGCCGUAACUAUAACGGUCCUAAGGUAGCGAAAUUCCUUGUCGGGUAAGUUCCGACCUGCACGAAUGGCGUAAUGAUGGCCAGGCUGUCUCCACCCGAGACUCAGUGAAAUUGAAAUCGCUGUGAAGAUGCAGUGUACCCGCGGCAAGACGGAAAGACCCCGUGAACCUUUACUAUAGCUUGACACUGAACAUUGAGCCUUGAUGUGUAGGAUAGGUGGGAGGCUUUGAAGCGUGGACGCCAGUCUGCGUGGAGCCAACCUUGAAAUACCACCCUUUAAUGUUUGAUGUUCUAACGUAGACCCGUAAUCCGGGUUGCGGACAGUGUCUGGUGGGUAGUUUGACUGGGGCGGUCUCCUCCCAAAGAGUAACGGAGGAGCACGAAGGUUGGCUAAUCCUGGUCGGACAUCAGGAGGUUAGUGCAAUGGCAUAAGCCAGCUUGACUGCGAGAGUGACGGCUCGAGCAGGUGCGAAAGCAGGUCAUAGUGAUCCGGUGGUUCUGAAUGGAAGGGCCAUCGCUCAACGGAUAAAAGGUACUCCGGGGAUAACAGGCUGAUACCGCCCAAGAGUUCAUAUCGACGGCGGUGUUUGGCACCUCGAUGUCGGCUCAUCACAUCCUGGGGCUGAAGUAGGUCCCAAGGGUACGGCUGUUCGCCGUUUAAAGUGGUACGCGAGCUGGGUUUAGAACGUCGUGAGACAGUUCGGUCCCUAUCUGCCGUGGGCGCUGGAGAAUUGAGGGGGGUUGCUCCUAGUACGAGAGGACCGGAGUGAACGCACCACUGGUGUUCGGGUUGUCAUGCCAAUGGCAUUGCCCGGUAGCUAAGUGCGGAAAAGAUAAGUGCUGAAAGCAUCUAAGCACGAAACUUGCCCCGAGAUGAGUUCUCCCUGACUCCCAGAGAGUCCUGAAGGGACGUUGAAGACGACGACGUUGAUAGGCCGGAUGUGUAAGUGCAGCGAUGCAUUGAGCUAACCGGUACUAAUGACCCGUGAGGCUUAACCUUACAACGCCAGAGGCGUUU